CUCAUUUCGAUUAUCCGUGGGAAAUCUAUGGCCAUCUCCAGAAGGCGGGGAAACCACGGUUGAGAGUGCCAGAGCGGAGCUACCAUUACUAUCGUGCAAUUCUGCCUGGCCGAGUAUGCCAGUGUCCGGGAUAUCAGGUUGAACGGUGGGAACGCAUAAUGGUGUCCCAGCGGCCACGUCUGCAAGAACGCGUCCACCGCCGUGGCCGCUGGGUCCGGUCUCCAACUGAAGUAGUGGGGUAGUUGGGUGUUCAAUCUGGACGCGAACAAAUCCAGGUGAAGUGGACCCCACAACCGUUCUAUCCUUUGAAAUGUCGAGGACAGCAAGUGCCAGUCUCCUGAAUCCUUCAGGUAGCGCGAGUUCCAAUCCGCCCACUCGUUGUCCAGACCCGGAAUGUGCUCGGCCGUAACCGAUACGGCAUUGUGUAGGCAAUACUGCCAGAAAUCCUUUGCCAAGUUCGCCAACUGCUUCGAUUUUGUCCCCCCGAGGUGGUUUAUGUACCUGACUGCGGACACAUUGUCCAUACGUAGGAGGACGCAGCAAUUUCCCUGCGUCGGAGAUAGACUCCGAAUGGCAAACGAACCCGCCAGAAGUUCCAGGCAGUUUAUGUGCAGAGCCGAUUCGAUCUCUGACCAUCUUCCACCGGUGGAGACACCGCCACAGCGAGCGCCCCAGCCAUGCAGGCUUGCAUCCGACUCUAUGAUCACAUCCGGCGCGGAGCCGUAGAUCGCCAGGCCGUUCCAGGCCUCCAUGUGGUCCAACCACCACCUUAGUUCGUCUCUGGAGUCCCUGUCCAGGGUCAACACGCUCUCAUACGAGCCCC